rnacentral:other from 1 species
ACGGUUAUAAAUCAACAUAUUGAUUUAUAAGCAUGGAAAUCCCCUGAGUGAAACAACGAAUUGCUGUGUGUAGUCUUUGCCCAUCCCCCACGAUGGGCUUUUUUUUAA